CGCAGCCGUAGCUCAGCUGGAUAGAGCGCUGCCCUCCGAAGGCAGAGGCCGCUGGUUCGAAUCCAGCCGGUUGCG
rnacentral:tRNA from 1 species